ACGCGUUCCUGUUCCUCAUCCUCCGGCGCCGCCUGGAGAAUGUAGGAGUCACUGCUCUAUAAAAACCACCGGACUACCACAAACUGGAAACAGCGGAAAAUCCCGUGGGUCACCGGCCACCAUGCUAAAUUGAAGCAAAGUUGAACUAAUCUGCCGUGCGAAAUAGCAAAAUAAAUAUUUCAUUUUAAUGUUUUAUUAAGACAUUAUAUUUUUCAUCUAAAACGUUUUUGAUGUGUUUUUUUCUCAUCGCGUUUAGGCGUCGUGUAUCAGAUCGCAACUGCUAAUAAUUUCGUCGUCUGAGGCGGACUGUUAUGGAGGUACCAAAUCUUCAGUGAUGAUGAAUGCGUUCACGCUUCUACGAGCCGGUAAUUGGCGGUAUCCAGAUGGCCACAGAGGUGACGUUCCGAGAUUGUAAAAACAUGCCGGGCCCACAGUUUCAGAUAAGCCGUUCUCAUCAAUGCCAUACCAUGUACGGUCGGCUAGUUACACUUCAUCACGAAGGACAAUCACAUCUAGGUGACGGAAUGCUGCCAAAACGAUGCAGCUGGCUUAGUCCUCGAUGACGACAAACAUGUUGUUUUGGCUUCUCACAAUUACUGAUGAAUGCUGGAAAUCUCCGUUAUAGCCGUUUUAUUGCGCUGAAUUAGGUUUAUAACUCUCGUGUGUGAGUUAUCAAUUAACAUUU